GUGAAAUGUCAGAAAUCGGGGUAUGGUGGCCCAGGUGGCCAACUCAAGUGUUCAAGAAUCAUGCAGGUGACAUUUGAAAAGGAAAACACUCUAUCAUUCUAUAUAUGUGAUUAUCACACAGGAAAUUACAAUGUUCAUGGAAAAGCCUACAAUAUCUAAGAAACAGCAAGGACUGAGAAAGAAGAGCAGUGGCUGAACUCCAAUGUCUGAAGAAGAAGGCAGUGACAAGCAGGAUGCCAUACAAGCUUCAGAACAUUUGAAAAAGCUGGGAUCAUUAUACCUGGGAUGACGGAUGCUAACAGCCCAUCCGAAUUCUUCUACACGAUCCAUUUGUCUAAUAGAACUUAUAGUCUAGUGAAGAAGAUGAAUACAUAUGGAUUUGAUAAUGCAAGACGGUAAAAUCAUGCUCCAAUCAGGGUACAAAAUGUCUUGAAAACACAAGGAAAUGACAAUUCUAAGAGGAGAAGAAAGCUUCACAGAAGACCAUGAGAUGCAGCCUUAAGGACAGGUUCCAAGAGAAAAAUAUUCCAGACAGCAGAAGCAGUCUAAAGGAAAGUAGAGAUGGAAAAUGCUAAACAUGUGAGAAACAGGAAAAUAACUAAGGAACUCCCUCAACUAUUACUAUUUUGAAAGUCUCUAAUUAUUACUUAAAUAGUUUCAAUGAAUUCACCCUGAAGAGCUAUUUGAGCUCAGCAUUCUAAUGCAGUGAAUUCCUAAAAAUAUGCAGACGAUUGUAGGAUGGAUCAGUUGUCAUUAAAAAGGAUUUUCAAGUCAGGUGGAUCUUGAGCUGCCUUGUAACUCCUGAAUGUAGUGCUAACCCCCCUCCCCCCACCCCAUUUACUCCCCAAAGGCUCCUCUUCAGCAUUCCUGCCUCAGUAUGAAUGAACUGCUCUAACAUCCUAGGAUCCCAGUGAAGGUGGCUUUUCCACACACAGUGCAAUCAAGAGAAAAUUAUACCUUUUAAGGACUAAUAACCCCAUAAUACAAAAUGUAAAAAUGCAAAAUCAAACCACGUAAAUGUCUGCAGUCUCUACUACAAAGAAUUCUAGAAUUAAAAGAGACCUUAGGGGAAAUCUGUGUCAACAAUGUGACCCACACUAUGUCUAUUGCGUUCUUUCUCUCGGGAAUUUAGGAUCAAGUCUCAACGUAUCAGUCUUUCCUUGUGCUUGGAACCAAGGGACACGUAAAUACUCAGGGGCUGCUGAACAGUCACAUUCAACCAUGAACACAGGAAAGCGGAAAAAAAAUGGUCAGCAAAGAAAGAACAGUGAAGCAAAGAAAGGCAAACAGUAGAGAGCAGGAAAGUUCCAGGUUUUCCAGUCCCUGGUCCCUAAUAAGGUCUGUCUGCAUUUGGCUCCCAUCAAGUUUCUUUCUUUCGUUUUCUUAAAACUAGUUCAUGUUCGUUUCUGUUACUUGCAACAGAAGCUUAAAUGAGGCAAUAACCAAAUCCUCUAUAAAGUCAA